rnacentral:lncRNA from 1 species
UAACUAAUGUCUAAGAUAUUCAAACCAUAGGCAUGCUAAAUGGCCAACUUGUAUUUUAAAGGCUGGACUUGUCGUAGAAAGUAGUAACAUCAUUUUGCUUUCUUAUUCUACUUUCUUUUCUUGUAUCAUCUAUUGGAUCUAAAGAAGUACUGGUUAGUCACUCUUCAUUCAUUUCUAAUAAUCUAUUCUUAGUAAAAUGCCUAUCAAUACCAUGUCUCGGGACAACUUUGGUUGGGUUCCUAUGAUUCAUGGGUAAUCUGUUGGCACAACUCCUCAGCUAGUCAGAGUUAUUUCUUUGAAAAGACUAAUCACCUGAAAAGCCGGAAGAAAGGAGUUGAAAUUAAUUUUUUUAUCAAGAAUAAGGGAGUUGAAACUACUAAACCUGAAUGUAGAAUUCAGCAUAUUUACAUUGGAUAUUAUAACUAACUGAAUCAAAUGAUUCUCAGGAUGAGUCACAUUCUUGCAGAUUAACCAAACAACUAAGAUGAUAUGGAAGUAAGAAAUACAGAGUUAAAGAAUGAAAAUGAAUAAGUAAUUUUCCUACCAAAGCUCGUCCGGCCAAGAAAUUGAGCUAUCAACCCCUACAGUAGUCUUAGAAUACAAAACAUUUUUCAAUUGAGAGAGAUAUGGUGUAAGUUUAAUUUCGAGUAGCUUGUCUAAAGGGAGUUCAAAGAAGUCAUACCAAGAUCGAAGAAUGAACUUACUAUAUACAUUGCAAAUGUGAUAAAUUGAACACAAUAAGAUACUUUAUAUUUGUAAAUCAUAAAUAUUCUAUUUCCUCCAGUUGGUUUGCCAAUAAAGCACGCUCCUCAACAGUGUCAUAUAUGCCUUUAAUGUUGUCCUCUUUAAUGUAACCAGGAAGCACUACUUCACUGCAAGUGACAAAAGAAAACAAUGAAAGCAGUUAGGUAAAUUUUGUAAUAAAGCUAUCAAUACUAAAUAGGAAAGGACGUUGUUGGAUAAGAGAGACCAAGAAUCUUGAUUUUACCUUGUAGUAUUACCAAGCAUACAAUUCAAGAUCCUAACGAAAGUGUGUUGUAUCCUGGGCUAGAUCCUAGCUGUAUAAAAACUUGAUUUCCUCCAAAGAUGCUCCAUAGUUUCCACAAUGACAUUCAAGCUUUUCAUGGAAGGUGUAUACAGAGUCAAAUGCAGUUGCACUGCAGAAACCUUCAUUCCAAAUAACAAGUGUAGCAUGUCAACCUUUUCUUUGCCGCAGAUC